CCUCGGAAUUCUUGCGGGACCUCUCCUAGCCGAUGCUGGCGUUUCCUGUACUUAACUUAUAUGCAGCCUUUUGGCUGUCGAGACUAUACGUAUUACAGAUGCAUCUUAGAGUAUUAAUAAUAACAUAUCUGCGGUCCCCACAAGAGCAGCUACAGAGCAAUUAAAAGUCAGAAAGAAUCCAAGAAAGUCUAAAUGGUUUCUAUUAAAAAUAGGAAUUUAUCUCCCUUACAUUUCUGUGAGUCUGAAUUAGUGAUUUCGUAUUUGGGAUCACGUUGUGGAUUAAAUGAUUCAUGCAAAGACAGAACAUGCAACGGUUCCUGAUAAAAGUUAUUAGAAAUUACUGAUGAGACAGGCGCCGGCGGGAGCCUUCUUGGCUCCGGGACUCCGCGGAGGGCAGGCUGCACGGGAGACCAUGUGGAAUACACAGGCCAGCUGUUUCUGGGACGGGCGAGAGUCGCAGAGCUUCUGGGGCGGCG
rnacentral:lncRNA from 1 species